UUUGCAGUAAUACAUUUACGUGGUGUUCCCCCAAACCAAUUAUAGUAUUAUAUGAUUUAUUGCCAUGCAAAGCUACAAAGAACUUAUGUCCAAGUUUAUUAUUGGAUGUCAGAAUUUUCCAAGAGGUUAAAUGAUAAUGUUAAAUCAGGAAUAGCUCAUAACACAUUUCACUACAUGACUUUAUGUAGUGAAAAUACAUAAAGUCAUGUUAGAUUUAUAUCAUUAUAAACAUUAUAGGGUGAUAAACAAUACAAAACGUAAAUAUAUUGUAUCAACGAUUGAACGUAAUCUGUAUACUGGCAAGGGCAAAACCUAGAGCUAGAGGUCUCAGGUGUAUUAUGAUGCAGAAUGCAGAUGCUUGUCCUCAAUGGGUUUUUUUCGGAAUGAAGGUUAAUUCUACUUAAUUGUGGCCAAUUCAAAUCCAAAUACAAUUCAAUAACUUGACGGAUUUGAUUAAUAUAUUAGAUUAUAAUUAAAUACCUCGCUCGAAGAUACUCCGUACAGUCUUGACAUUUCUUUUAAGACCUGCUCGCCAUGUUUAUUUUUGAACACAUCCUGCGCUUCUUUAAUUGUGCCUUCUCCAAUUUUACCGUGUUCAGCUCUGUAAUGUUGUUCUAAACCUGCCUUUUUAAAAAAGGCAGUUUUAUUUGUGCAGUCUUGGUGUGGGCAACAAACCUUAUCUUUGGAAAAUGCUUCCUGCCACGUCCUUAGAGUCGCCAUUUUACUGCAUUAAGUUUACAAGUCUCACGCCGCUUAUUUAUAUCUGUUUAUAUUCAAGAUUAUGCAGAAAUUUACUUGCUGACGUGACGCCGGCGCCAUUUUUUUUACAAGAUUCCGCAGGCCCUCUCGAAAUCGUGACCUUCCCAUGACGCAACGAGGGCCUGCGGAGGAGGCAGGGGUUAGGGUUAGAAAAGGGGUUGGGGAUAGGUUUAUAUUAUAAAAAUUCAACUUUAACAAUAGUCACUAGAUUGCCGGCCAUUUAGUAUUUGAUAAACCGUGACCGGCUGCCGGUCAUAUAGUCACUUCGUUAGAAUAAGCUUUGGUAUCCAUUAAUUGUAACACUUCGAUAUAGGACAUUUGAGGCUUGACGAAGGAGAAGAUAGAAGACGGGUUAAUGUCAAGGUUGAGAGUCGAAUCCAGCACAUGCGACAAUGUAGAGGUGUUGGAUACAUCUACCAGUGUAUCACAAAGGGGAACAUCUUUCGACAUUAAUCGACGACUUGCGUUCAGCUCUAUUGAAACGGGGGCGGCUGCGGAGGUCUGGCUACACUGUGUACCAUUAUAACAUGCCAUGUAUGUCAAAAACUGCAUAUUAUAAACAAUUAUCUGGACCAUUCUCCUAGUCGUAGAAAGAGAAUGUCUGAAUGAACUGAAAAGAGUGGGUGAAAAGGUUCCUAAACCUGAUUUUUGAGCAACAGCGAAAGAGAAAAAGAGGCGUCAAGGGGAGAACUUAUGUUGUACUAGAAGGGAAGAAGUAUUGAAGGAUGCUGAAGGUACCACAUAUGAAGCUGGUGCCUUCUAAUUACCUUCAGCAAGACUUUGAUUUUGAACUUAUGUAUAUAGACCAUACAUUUACUCAUUGUAAACAAUCCUCAAACGUUAAAGCCGUUUUCUCAAAAUCGCACAUUUUACCCUUUGAGAAAGGAUAUCUCUAGAACGAUUUAACCAAUUGACAUGAAAUUUUCAGGAUUUAUGUAUCUUACUAUUUUCUUGGGGAUGAACAGAGGAUUUUUAAAUAUAUAUUUUAUAACAUGAAUUAUUGCAUAAACAUGUCAAGCAAAUUUGUAUGGUACAUUUAAAACCUCGUAAUCCGCUUAGUUUUCAAAAUUUUCAAAAAUCCUCUGUUCAUCCCCAAGAGAAUGGCAAGAUACAUAUAUCCUGAAAAUUUCAUGUCAAUUGGUUAAAUCAUUCCAGAGAUAUCUUUACUCAAGCUCAGUCUAUCACGAAACCGCAUGUUGCCACUUUAACUGCCUGGUUGCCAAUAGCAACGCAGAUUUGGUGUCCAAAAAUAUAUUUUUUAGAAUCUUGAGUUCAUUAGCUAUCUGAUGAUAUAUAGUUUGCCAGAGGUUUAUUGUAAAGUGUCCAGUGUGCAGCCUUUGUUCUGUGAGCCUUAGUUUUGGGUUGACCCUCCCCUUAACACUAGAUUUUGUUUUAAUUAGUAAUUUAUAUGUUUUUGUGUUCACAUUUACAGUUAUAAAAAAGUUCUAAAAGUAAAAAAAGUUUUUUACUCUUGAUAUAUACAAGGUUGCGUGAGUUUUUGCGAGGCAUGGCGGAUGUCCGGGGGGAGGG
rnacentral:lncRNA from 1 species